CUAACUGAAAUGAUGACUGCAUAGUUCAGCGGAUAACCUGUGAAGAAUAAAUCUUUCGCUCCUAUCUGAUUAAUGUU